GUGAGGAAUUUUCCGCAAUGGGCGAAAGCCUGACGGAGCAAUGCCGCGUGAAGGAUGAAGGCCUAUGGGUUGUAAACUUCUUUUCUCAGAAAAGAAUUAUGAGGGUAUCUGAGGAAUAAGCAUCGGCUAACUCUGUGCCAGCAGCCGCGGUAAGACAGAGGAUGCAAGCGUUAUCCGGAAUGAUUGGGCGUAAAGCGUCUGUAGGUUGUUUAAAAAGUAUUCUGUCAAAGAUUAGGGCUUAACCCUAGAUAGGCAGAAUAAACUUUUAAGCUAGAGUUUGGUAGAGGCAGAGGGAAUUCCCGGUGGAGCGGUGAAAUGCGUAGAUAUCGGGAGGAACACCAAAGGCGAAGGCACUCUGCUGGGCCAAUACUAACACUGAGAGACGAAAGCGAGGGGAGCAAAUGGGAUUAGAAACCCGAGUAGUCC
rnacentral:rRNA from 1 species